AGCGAACGCUGGCGGCAGGCUUAACACAUGCAAGUCGAGCGGGCGUAGCAAUACGUCAGCGGCAGACGGGUGAGUAACGCGUGGGAACGUACCUUUUGGUUCGGAACAACACAGGGAAACUUGUGCUAAUACCGGAUAAGCCCUUACGGGGAAAGAUUUAUCGCCGAAAGAUCGGCCCGCGUCUGAUUAGCUAGUUGGUGAGGUAACGGCUCACCAAGGCGACGAUCAGUAGCUGGGUCCUGAGAGGAUGAUCAGCCACAUUGGGACUGAGACACGGCCCAAACUCCUACGGGAGGCAGCAGUGGGGAAUAUUGGACAAUGGGC
rnacentral:rRNA from 1 species